AGAGUUUGAUCCUGGCUCAGGAUGAACGCUAGCGGCAGGCCUAAUACAUGCAAGUCGAGGGGCAGCACAGGUAGCAAUACUGGGUGGCGACCGGCAAACGGGUGCGGAACACGUACGCAACCUUCCUUUAAGAGAUGAAUAGCCCGGAGAAAUCCGGAUUAAUGCAUCGUAAGAUUGUGGGAUGGCAUCAUCCAGCAAUUAAAGAUUUAUUUCGCUUAAAGAUGGGCGUGCGCCUGAUUAGGUAGUUGGUGAGGUAACGGCUCACCAAGCCGACGAUCAGUAACUGGCGUGAGAGCGCGACCAGUCACACGGGCACUGAGACACGGGCCCGACUCCUACGGGAGGCAGCAGUAAGGAAUAUUGGUCAAUGGACGCAAGUCUGAACCAGCCAUGCCGCGUGAAGGAUGAAAGCCCUCUGGGUUGUAAACUUCUUUUAUCUGGGAAGAAACCACCUUUAUCUAAGGGUGUUGACGGUACCAGAGGAAUAAGCACCGGCUAACUCCGUGCCAGCAGCCGCGGUAAUACGGAGGGUGCAAGCGUUAUCCGGAUUCACUGGGUUUAAAGGGUGCGUAGGCGGAUUAGUAAGUCCGUGGUGAAAUCUCCAAGCUUAACUUGGAAACUGCCAUGGAUACUAUUAGUCUUGAAUGUUGUGGAGGUUAGCGGAAUAUGUCAUGUAGCGGUGAAAUGCAUAGAUAUGACAUAGAACACCAAUUGCGAAGGCAGCUGGCUACACAAAUAUUGACGCUGAGGCACGAAAGCGUGGGGAUCAAACAGGAUUAGAUACCCUGGUAGUCCACGCCCUAAACGAUGAUUACUCGACAUUUGCGAUACACAGCAAGUGUCUGAGCGAAAGCAUUAAGUAAUCCACCUGGGAAGUACGACCGCAAGGUUGAAACUCAAAGGAAUUGACGG
rnacentral:rRNA from 1 species